rnacentral:rRNA from 1 species
CUGGCGGCGUGCUUAACACAUGCAAGUCGAGCGAAGCGAUUUAAAUGAGACUUCGGUGGAUUUUAAAUUGACUGAGCGGCGGACGGGUGAGUAACGCGUGGAUAACCUGCCUCACACAGGGGGAUAACAGUUAGAAAUGACUGCUAAUACCGCAUAAGCGCACGGUACCGCAUGGUACAGUGUGAAAAACUCCGGUGGUGUGAGAUGGAUCCGCGUCUGAUUAGGUAGUUGGUGAGGUAACGGCCCACCAAGCCGACGAUCAGUAGCCGACCUGAGAGGGUGACCGGCCACAUUGGGACUGAGACACGGCCCAAACUCCUACGGGAGGCAGCAGUGGGGAAUAUUGCACAAUGGGCGAAAGCCUGAUGCAGCAACGCCGCGUGAGUGAAGAAGUAUCUCGGUAUGUAAAGCUCUAUCAGCAGGGAAGAAAAUGACGGUACCUGACUAAGAAGCCCCGGCUAACUACGUG